UACGGAGGAUCCGAGUGUUAUCCGGAAUUAUUGGGUUUAAAGGGUGCGUAGGCGGCCAUUUAAGUCAGCGGUGAAAUUUUGCAGCUUAACUGUAAAAGUGCCUUCGAUACUGGCUUCCUUGAGUGUGGAUGAAGUAGGCGGAAUUUGUAGUGUAGCGGUGAAAUGCAUAGAUAUUACAAGGAACUCCGAUUGCGAAGGCAGCUUACUAAAAUACAACUGACGCUCAGGCACGAAGGCGUGGGUAUCAAACAGGAUUAGAUACCCGUGUAGUCCCU
rnacentral:rRNA from 1 species